rnacentral:rRNA from 1 species
UACGGAGGGGGCUAGCGUUGUUCGGAAUUAGCUAGGGCGUAAGCGCGCGGUUAGGCGGCUUUGUAAGAUUAGAGGUGAAAGCCCGGAGCUUCAACUCCGGAACUGCCUUUAAGACUGCAUCGCUAGAAUCAUGGAGAGGUGAGUGGAAUUCCGAGUGUAGAGGUGAAAUUCGUAGAUAUUCGGAAGAACACCAGUGGCGAAGGCGACUCACUGGACAGUGUAUUGAACGCGUGAGGUGGCGAAAGCGAUGGGGAGCAAACUACGGGAAUUAAGCAAACCC